rnacentral:rRNA from 1 species
CGUGUGGUUCUAUUUUGUUGGUUUCUAGGACCGCCGUAAUGAUUAAUAGGGACAGUCGGGGGCGUCAGUAUUCAGUUGUCAGAGGUGAAAUUCUUGGAUCUACUGAAGACUAACUACUGCGAAAGCAUUCGCCAAGGAUGUUUUCAUUGAUAAGGAACGAAAGUUAGGGGAUCGAAGACGAUCAGAUACCCUCGUAGUCUUAACUAUAAACUAUGCCGACUAGGGAUCGGACGAUGUUAUUUUUUGACUCGUUCGGCACCUUUCGAGAAAUCAAAGUGCUUGGGCUCCAGGGGGAGUAUGGUCGCAAGGCUGAAACUUAAAGAAAUUGACGGAAGGGCACCACCAGGGGUGGAACCUGCGGCUUAAUUUGACUCAACACGGGGAAACUCACCAGGUCCAGACACAGUGAGGAUUGACAGAUUGAUAGCUCUUUCUUGAUUCUGUGGGUGGUGGUGCAUGGCCGUUCUUAGUUGGUGGAGUGAUUUGUCUGCUUAAUUGCGAUAACGAACGAGACCUUAACCUGCUAAAUAGCCCCUAUUGCCUCGGCAGUAGGCUGGCUUCUUAGAGGGACUAUCGGCUCAAGCCGAUGGAAGUUUGAGGCAAUAACAGGUCUGUGAUGCCCUUAGAUGUCCUGGCCGCACGCGCGUUACACUGACAAAGCCAGCGAGUAUUUCCUUGGCCGGAAGGCCCGGGUAAUCUUGUUAAACUUUGUCGUGC